GAUGAACGCUGGCGGCGUGCUUAACACAUGCAAGUCGAACGGUGAAGCAGAGCUUGCUCUGUGGAUCAGUGGCGAACGGGUGAGUAACACGUGAGCAAUCUGCCCCUGACUCUGGGAUAAGCGCUGGAAACGGCGUCUAAUACCGGAUACGAGCUGCGACCGCAUGGUCAGUAGCUGGAAAGAAUUUCGGUCAGGGAUGAGCUCGCGGCCUAUCAGCUUGUUGGUGAGGUAAUGGCUCACCAAGGCGUCGACGGGUAGCCGGCCUGAGAGGGUGACCGGCCACACUGGGACUGAGACACGGCCCAGACUCCUACGGGAGGCAGCAGUGGGGAAUAUUGCACAAUGGGCGCAAGCCUGAUGCAGCAACGCCGCGUGAGGGAUGACGGCCUUCGGGUUGUAAACCUCUUUUAGCAGGGAAGAAGCGAAAGUGACGGUACCUGCAGAAAAAGCGCCGGCUAACUACGUGCCAGCAGCCGCGGUAAUACGUAGGGCGCAAGCGUUAUCCGGAAUUAUUGGGCGUAAAGAGCUCGUAGGCGGUCUGUCGCGUCUGCUGUGAAAACCCGAGGCUCAACCUCGGGCCUGCAGUGGGUACGGGCAGACUAGAGUGCGGUAGGGGAGAUUGGAAUUCCUGGUGUAGCGGUGGAAUGCGCAGAUAUCAGGAGGAACACCGAUGGCGAAGGCAGAUCUCUGGGCCGUAACUGACGCUGAGGAGCGAAAGGGUGGGGAGCAAACAGGCUUAGAUACCCUGGUAGUCCACCCCGUAAACGUUGGGAACUAGUUGUGGGGUCCAUUCCACGGAUUCCGUGACGCAGCUAACGCAUUAAGUUCCCCGCCUGGGGAGUACGGCCGCAAGGCUAAAACUCAAAGGAAUUGACGGGGACCCGCACAAGCGGCGGAGCAUGCGGAUUAAUUCGAUGCAACGCGAAGAACCUUACCAAGGCUUGACAUAUAGAGGAAACGUCUGGAAACAGUCGCCCCGCAAGGUCUCUAUACAGGUGGUGCAUGGUUGUCGUCAGCUCGUGUCGUGAGAUGUUGGGUUAAGUCCCGCAACGAGCGCAACCCUCGUUCUAUGUUGCCAGCACGUAAUGGUGGGAACUCAUGGGAUACUGCCGGGGUCAACUCGGAGGAAGGUGGGGAUGACGUCAAAUCAUCAUGCCCCUUAUGUCUUGGGCUUCACGCAUGCUACAAUGGCCGGUACAAAGGGCUGCAAUACCGUGAGGUGGAGCGAAUCCCAAAAAGCCGGUCCCAGUUCGGAUUGAGGUCUGCAACUCGACCUCAUGAAGUCGGAGUCGCUAGUAAUCGCAGAUCAGCAACGCUGCGGUGAAUACGUUCCCGGGUCU
rnacentral:rRNA from 1 species